GUAUUUAUGAUAUAAUGAUAGGCCAGUGACAUCAUUAUAUUAUAAUUAUAUCUUAGUCUUGAAGAUCAAUCUCAGUAAAUAUAAAUAUAUACAUAUAUAUAUAUACAUAUAAAAAUUUUUAUACAUGCAGAGGACAUUGAAGAAUAUUUGAGAUUAUUAUUUUGGAACAAAGUAGUGAAGGUGAUAAGUGUGCCAAAUGGAUUAAGGUGCCUAGAUCACCAAAAACAUUCAUAAUUUUUAAAAACUCUUAGUGUAAAUAGUAUUAUCUGGUCAAGCCAGUUUUGUAUAUUUUCAUUGUGUAUUAUGUGCAAGGCAUUCAUGCUGAACAAAAUUCUAUACAGACAAAAAGUGUGCCAAAGGUGAAGCUGUGAUAGAUAAUUUGGCAUGAUGCAUCCUGACAUACAAUAUUUACUUCUUAAAGUGCAUUUUGUCAGACUUUUGAAUGAAGUGCAAGAUAUUUUUAUCUCCAAUGCUUGCCAUCUUAGUCUACCUCUUGCUUGCAACAAUGAUUUCCAAAGAGAUCAUCCUUCAUUAUAUUCUGUGUAUGUAUCAUCUUAGAUAAUAUAACUGCAAUAUAUAUUUGCAGCUAACUACAGUCUAAUGAUGACAAGGUGGAGAGAUCACACCGCCUAUAGGUUUGUUUUUAGAUUGCAGCAUGCCAAAAUGGUAUAAAUGUUAUGCAUUAAUUAAUAUUAUUACUGAGAGAUAUUGUUAUACUGUUGCUUUGUAUACCCUAAAGAAAACCAAAAUAAUAUUAGAAUUUUUAAUUAAAACUGUUAACUUUCUAGAUUUGUUAUGGAAUUUCAAGAGUUUUUACACAGGUAUAUUUAAUAAUGGCAGUAAAUCUGUUACAGUUUUGUGUUAUAAUUUGUAACUUUCAAUAAAAGAAAGUGAAAGUGAA
rnacentral:lncRNA from 1 species